CCACAGCCCCACAUGAUUGGUCCAAGGUAGACACACCCCUGGAGGGCAGCCAAUCCACGUGCAGGGGUGUGGCGUGCAAAGAUGAGUGGGACCAAUCCCCGGGGCAGCGAAGCAGAGAGAAGGAGCCUGGCCUAGGACUGUGCCUCCGAGAGGGCCAAUGCGUAGACAGUGGCCGAGAGGGAGUGAUGUCCAAGGAGGCCCAAGGCACAAAGCAGAAACCAGAUUUCAAGGGAGAAGGGAGGAGAGGAAGAGGCUGACCCACAGGGGGCCCAUCAUCGUGGACCCAGAAUGACUCCCCUCCUGCUCCCUCCCUGGCUGGGCUGUCCAGCUCGAACAGGUCCUGUGUGGGUCUCCCCUUCCCGAAGGUGGGGCCGACAGGAUGUGAGAGGAAGUCCCAGAACAGCUCCUGAAAGGGACCGGUCCAGCUGGCAGGCACCAACUUGCCCUUCCUCUUUCCCCCUCCUCCUGCUGGAAGGAGGAAGUGGCAGCUGGAGUCAUCCUGGGAGCAUGAGGUCCUCACUCCUUCCCUGCCCUUUCUGCUCAGUCCCAGCUUCUGGAUGUUGGGUGCCUGCAUUUCUGGCUCAGCCUCUCACAGCAAACUGUGAGCCCCUACUGUCCAGUUAAGUUCUGUAUCCCCAAAACCUGCUUACAUACAAACCUGCUGGAGCAACCAAACUUGACCACUCAUGGCCGCCAGGAAACCCCCUGCUUCCAGCCUCCAUGCUUU
rnacentral:lncRNA from 10 species